rnacentral:misc_RNA from 1 species
AAGUCGUAACAAGGUUUCCGUAGGUGAACCUGCGGAAGGAUCAUUAACGAGUUUUGAAAGGGGUUGUAGCUGGCCUUCCGAGGCAUGUGCACGCCCUGCUCAUUCCACUCUACACCUGUGCACCUUACUGUGGGUCUCAGGCGAGCGUCGGUCGCUUCGCGGCGUCGUCGUUCAACUGGGCUCACGUUUUUACUACAAACUAUUAAAGUAUCAGAAUGUCUACUGCGAAUUAACGCAUUUAAAUACAA